rnacentral:rRNA from 1 species
GUGGGGAAUUUUGGACAAUGGGCGCAAGCCUGAUCCAGCAAUGCCGCGUGCAGGAAGAAGGCCUUCGGGUUGUAAACUGCUUUUGUACGGAACGAAACGGUCCGGGUUAAUACCCUGGGCUAAUGACGGUACCGUAAGAAUAAGCACCGGCUAACUACGUGCCAGCAGCCGCGGUAAUACGUAGGGUGCAAGCGUUAAUCGGAAUUACUGGGCGUAAAGCGUGCGCAGGCGGUUUUGUAAGACAGGCGUGAAAUCCCCGGGCUCAACCUGGGAAUUGCGCUUGUGACUGGAAGGCUGGAGUGCGGCAGAGGGGGAUGGAAUUCCGCGUGUAGCAGUGAAAUGCGUAGAUAUGCGGAGGAACACCGAUGGCGAAGGCAAUCCCCUGGGCCUGCACUGACGCUCAUGCACGAAAGCGUGGGGAGCAAACAGGAUUAGAAACCCCAGUAGUCC